rnacentral:rRNA from 1 species
GACGAACGCUGGCGGCGUGCUUAACACAUGCAAGUCGAACGGAAAGGCCCUGCUUUUGUGGGGUUCUCGAGUGGCGAACGGGUGAGUAACACGUGAGUAACCUGCCCUUGACUUUGGGAUAACUUCAGGAAACUGGGGCUAAUACCGGAUAGGAGCUCCUGCUGCAUGGUGGGGGUUGGAAAGUUUCGGCGGUUGGGGAUGGACUCGCGGCUUACCAGCUUGUUGGUGGGGUAGUGGCUUACCCAGGCUUUGACGGGUAGCCGGCCUGAGAGGGUGAACGGCCACAUUGGGACUGCGAGACGGCCCAGACUGCUACGGGAGGCAGCAGUGGAGAAUAUUGCACAAUGGGCGGAAGCCUGAUGCAGCAACGCCGCGUGCGGGAUGACGGCCUUCGGGUUGUAAACCGCUUUCGCCUGUGACGAAGCGUGAGUGACGGUAAUGGGUAAAGAAGCACCGGCUAACUACGUG